GACGAACGCUGGCGGCGUGCUUAACACAUGCAAGUCGAACGGAAAGGCCCUGCGUUUGUGGGGUUCUCGAUUGGCGAACGGGUGAGUAACACGUGAGUAACCUGCCCUUGACUUUGGGAUAACUUCAGGAAAAUGGGGCUAAUACCGGAUAGGAGCUCCUGCUGCAUGGUGGUGGUUGGAAAGAUUCGGCGGUUGGGGAUGGACUCGCGGCUUAUCAGCUUGUUGGUGGGGUAGUGGCUUACCAAGGCUUUGAAGGGUAGCCGGCCUGAGAGGGUGACCGGCCACAUUGGGACUGAGAUACGGCCCAGACUGCUACGGGAGGCAGCAGUGGGGAAUAUUGCACAAUGGGCGGAAGCCUGAUGCAGCAACGCCGCGUGCGGGAUGACGGCCUUCGGGUUGUAAACCGCUUUCGCCUGUGACGAAGCGUGAGUGACGGUAAUGGGUAAAGAAGCACCGGCUAACUACGUG
rnacentral:rRNA from 1 species